GAAAGAAGAAAUAAGAAAACUACAACAUCAACUAGCACUUACAAACCAGAAAUUGCAAGUCCUUUUAUUAUGCUAUGUAGCUUUUUUCUAGAUUAUACAAAUCCUUCAUGACUUUAAAAUUAGCUAUGUUAAGUAUCAACAGAUUUUAUUUUAUUUUUCUUUCUAGAGAAGCCAUUUUUCUAUGAGGAAUAAUGAAUGAUCACCUACAACCAGUUGCAUGUGAAUGGAAAACUCUAUCUACAGAUACUUUGGGAUUUUCAUUUUCCAAUUACUUUUGGUCAUCCUUUAAUGAUUUUGGUUUCCAACGUGUUCUUUUUGUUCUUGAAUUUAAAAGAUUAUAGAGUCUUUGAUUGCAAGUAGGGAUGUCAUCAACCUCCCGGCCUGAUCAUUUUGGAGAAAAUAUUAGGUCAUAAGAUAUGGAUAAAGUGAGGAAGACAUUUUAUACAGAUGUUCCUGAUGAAUACAUGCAAGUUGUUGAAGAUCUGGUUGUCCAAAGGACUGAAUUUGGUAAUGCAUCAGAGAAAGAGCAUUACCAUGUGAAGAGUGACUCUUUCAUGCAAAUGUUCUGCAACAAAAGAUGGUGGAGCUCUUCAUCUUCUUAACGAACUUUCAUUUAAUUGUCUUUUUAUUUUGAAGUCUUCCAUUGCAGAUUUUAAUUUUUACUGUCAGGUUUGCAAGUCAGAUAAAUAAUGUUUCAGAUUA